GUGGGGAGGGGUGGACAUAGUUGCACCUGUGCAGAUAGAUUUACUUCCUUUAAAGAAAUACUUCUUUCACAACUACUGGGUUAGGCUGUCCUUCUUAGUAUGACAUUACUUGUCUUUUGGAGGUGUUGCUGUUACCUUCAAGCAUUGGGUCACAGAUCUUGGAGUGGACCCUAAAGGUGACAGAAAGCCUGUGCAAGCUUGGUCAACGUAGUUGCUAGAGAAAAAAAUAUACCCUUUGGGAAUUCUGGAAAAGGCUUGUCAUUGAAAACAAGAUUUGGGAGCCUAUAUCUGGGCCACUUAUGUCACUAUAAAUAUCUAUCAGAAUUCUGUUUGAUACAACUCAAAACCGACAUGAUUUUUUUUGUCAUAAAAAGCAAGAUGAAUUAGGAAGGACUGGGAACACACUUUCUGGCAGAUGGUGUCUGAGAGCAGAUGACAGAGAGAAGAACAGGUCAGUCAACUCCCACUGAAAGGAAAAAUUUGUGUUUCCCCGUCCAAGACAGAGAUCUUCAUUCUUGGAAAAAAGGAACAAAUGUGGUUAGGAAUGUGAAUGUAAAAAUAGGACUGGGUAGUAAGAGAGCAAUUUAUUGCUUUUCAAAAAUUUUUAAUGGUAAGACUUUUUUUUAACUUCAAAGAACAGUAUGAAACUGAAAUGUACAAAGAAGAAAAGUCACUCAUAGUCUCACUAGCCAGAAGUAAAUUGGUAUUAACAAGGUAAAACAAUAUUAACAAUUAUAUCUAGUUCUUUCUGACCUUCCUUUUUAUUUUACUGUGUAUAUUUUUCUUCUAUUUAUUUUAUAAAUUGUGAUAUUACUAUACACAAAAAUUUGUAUAUUUUUUACAUGAAUAUUAUAGACUAAUCAUGUUGAUGGUUUAUCAAACAGCUCUCAGAAACCUUUGUUAAUUCAACAAGUAUUUAUGUUUUGUUUUGUUUUGUUUUUUGGUGCUGGGGAUUGAACUCGGGUCCUUGUCAACAAGUAUUUAUGAAGUACCUACCAUGCCUCAGGCAUGGGCUCUUUCCAUGGCAUUUUCAAUCAAGUGAAGCACAUUGGACAGGAUCCAAUCACCUCUGUUUAGUUGGCAAGAAAGGUUGCAGUGUAUUUGACCCAGCACCCAGUUCUCCAGGUAUGAACCAUAGUAUUAUUAGUCACCCCGAGGCAAUCCAGGUAUUGGCAUCACAAGAAAACCAAUUAAUAGCAACAACUCUGUCACUUUGGCUAUAGUAAUAAAGUCAGCAACAGUAAUAAUAUCAAAGACAAGCUAAAUAUUAACAAACCCUAAGGAUCAAUAAUGUAC
rnacentral:lncRNA from 1 species